GACAGAGGUCCCAAGCGUUGUUCGGAUUCACUGGGCGUAAAGGGUGCGUAGGUGGCUUGGUAAGUUUGAUGUGAAAUCUCCGGGCUUAACCCGGAAAUGGCAUUGAAUACUAUUGAGCUGGAGGUUUGGAGGGGGGACUGGAAUUCUCGGUGUAGCAGUGAAAUGCGUAGAUAUCGAGAGGAACACCAGUGGCGAAGGCGAGUCCCUGGACAACACCUGACACUGAGGCACGAAAGCUAGGGGAGCAAACAGG
rnacentral:rRNA from 1 species